CCUACGGGAGGCAGCAGUGGGGAAUAUUGCGCAAUGGGCGAAAGCCUGACGCAGCGACGCCGCGUGAGGGAUGAAGGUCUUCGGAUCGUAAACCUCUGUCAGCAGGGAAGCACGGUCACUGUGCUAAUCAGCAGUGAAUUGACGGUACCUGCAAAGGAAGCACCGGCUAACUCCGUGCCAGCAGCCGCGGUAAUACGGCGGGUGCGAGCGUUAAUCGGAAUUACUGGGCGUAAAGCGCUCGUAGGCGGUAUGUCAAGUCAAGGGUGAAAUCCCCGCGCUCAACGUGGGAACUGCCGUUGAAACUGGCAGACUGGAGUUGGUGAGAGGAUAGUGGAAUGCCAGGUGUAGGAGUGAAAUCCGUAGAUAUCUGGAGGAACAUCAGUGGCGAAGGCGACUAUCUGGCACAUAACUGACGCUGAGGAGCGAAAGCGUGGGUAGCAAACAGGAUUAGAUACCCUAGUAGUC
rnacentral:rRNA from 1 species